AGGCGCCCUGUUCUACUAUAUAAACAUCAUCUUAUACAAAUAUGAGUAGUUUAUGAAACAGGUCGUCAAUAAUCGUUUUGUCUCUUUUUUACUAGUACAAAAUUUCAUUUGGUAAAAGAGAUAAAUAUAUAUUUGUUAUUUCUAGUUAUGGCAACAUUUUGUGAUGACGUCACAACAGCUGUAGGUACGUGCCAUUUUUCGCCAUUUUAUGCGCUGUGUUUUGUGGUACUUCUGCUGUCAAGUAGCUGUUUAUGAGAUCGUAUUUUGUGUUUUGCGGAUAAAUUACGAGGAUUUGAUUUGCUAAAUCGAAGUUGAAGUUGAAAAAAGUGAUAUUCAACAUGUCCGUGUAUUGUAUUGUACAGUGUGGUGCCAGAAAGGACAGAAAUCAACCGUAUUUGUCACUUCAUAGGCCAUCUUUCAAUCCAAAAUUGUCGACUGGAUUUACUGAAACAGGUGAUAUUGGAAAACUAAUCCACAGCUGCAACGUCGUCUGUGCUGCCAUUGCCCGUACGUCUGUCUCAUAAGUCAGUACAUGAAAAGUCUGUUCAAGACGCGAUGAAAAAAUUAAAAGAUAGCC